rnacentral:lncRNA from 1 species
GACUUCCGGGUUGAACAGCGGAUGAGAGAAGGCAGGAGAGAGAUAGGGGCUUUUGGAGGAGGAUUGUGAAAGGACAAGAUGUAGCUACUAGUGUCUCCCUAUUUCAAUGGCAGAUCUGCCAGGAUUCACCACCAGAGGAUUUAGGUUUGAUAUGGCUUACAAGAUUAGGCUUCUAGUUGUUGUGCCCAGUGAUUAAGUUACCUUUGUUUCUGACCGAAGUUUGUGUGGUGUUGUCCUUCACGCAGCUGCUCGACUGGGUUCCAGAGAGAAAAAUAGGGCGGCAAAGCGUGGGUUUGCCUGAUGCACACCACUGAAGACCAUCAGAGUGUUGAAGCCUGGUGCUAACCUGGUAGCUACCCUCCAGUGGAAACUUAGCGAGCUGGGUAGAGAGAUUUUGGAGCUCUGAGUCAGAGACUCUCCACGAGAUAAGAACAGCCUGCCAGUGCGUGGUCGGCCAGCCCGCUGGGGCAGAGAGUAGCUGAGUUUAGCUCAGGAACCAGGUGCCACUUUUAAAAUAUUUUUCGCGACAUAUCGCCAGGGAGGAGCCUCCUGAUUUUUCAGAGACUGGAUCAGAAGGGAGCUGGAGACAUUCUUUUGCUUUGAUACCACCAAGCCUGCCUCCCCCACCUCUAAUCACUCACUCUGUUACAAAAUACAGUCUCUGUAGAGUUGUCCAUGACGUACAGCAUCUUCUUUUUCUACAGAAUGGGCUAACCUCAACUUAACUCAGAUUGUUUUUUAAAGAACUCGAAGGGAAGGAAGAUGACUCAGCAUAGAAAGGAGCUUGCCACUAAACCCGACAACUUGAUUCUGACCCCUCAAACCCACAUGAUAGAAGAAGAGACUCAGUUCCCUCACGGUGCCGUCCGAUCUUCACUUGCACACAAUGACAUAUGUGCACAGUUGCUGACUUGCAAAGUGAUGGCCAGUCGGGAGAGGUGACCUACAAGCAGGUAAGGAAGGUGGGGUGGCUUUUGUUUCAU